GAUACCCUGGUAGUCCACGCAGUAAACGAUGAAUGCUAAUUGUCCGUUGCGAAUGAGCGAUGGGUGAUACAGCGAAAGCGUUAAGCAUUCCACCUGGGGAGUACGCCGGCAACGGUGAAACUCAAAGGAAUUGACGGGGGCCCGCACAAGCGGAGGAACAUGUGGUUUAAUUCGAUGAUACGCGAGGAACCUUACCCGGGCUCAAACGACGGAUGAAUGUUUUUGAAAGGAGGCAGCCCUUCGGGGCGUCCGUCGAGGUGCUGCAUGGUUGUCGUCAGCUCGUGCCGUGAGGUGUCGGCUUAAGUGCCAUAACGAGCGCAACCCCCAUCGCCAGUUACCAUCAAGUAAAGUUGGGGACUCUGGCGAGACUGCCGGCGCAAGCUGCGAGGAAGGCGGGGAUGACGUCAAAUCAGCACGGCCCUUACGUCCGGGGCGACACACGUGUUACAAUGGCAGGCACAGAGAGAAGCGACAUGGCGACAUGAAGCGGAACUGUCAAAACCUGUCUCAGUUCGGAUUGGAGUCUGCACCCGACUCCAUGAAGCUGGAUUCGCUAGUAAUCGCGCAUCAGCCACGGCGCGGUGAAUACGUUUCCGGGCCUUGUACACACCGCCCGUCAAGCCAUGGAAGCCGGGAGUGCCUGAAGUGUGCAACCGC
rnacentral:rRNA from 1 species